CGCGUCUGGGAAUGACUCACAUCAAGGGUGGGCGAAGAGAGAGAGAGAGAGGAAAAAAAGAGCCAAAGCGCAGAAACGGCAAUGGUGAUGACUAUUCUCUUUUAGUCUUCUGAUUCAUGCUCAUGUUCUCAACCCUUUUUCCGUGAGAAAAAGUGAUAGCUAGUUCUAGCUUUGAAUCCUCGUGUUACAUAAUUUCUGUUUAUGUAAGGCGAGAUCUCUGACUCUCUGCUGUAAAAUUCACCGGUUCGCCAUGUUUGAUUUUUUUUUAUAAUCGAGUUCGACUACUUUUGUUCGUAAGAACGUGCUGGAUCUUGGAAUCUCUCUUUGUUCAUGCUGUUUUUUCUAUGUGCUUGGCAUUUUGUCGGUUUUCCUUUCAGAGGGAAAAACAACGAGGUCGGAGUUUUUUUUCCCCCCUCAAUUUAUUUUGUUGAUAUUGUGUUUUUUAUGUGAAUCUACAUGGAGCUGGGGCGAAGACACUGGAUGCAGCGGUUCAUCGAUCUCUUCCUGAUCUUUUGUGUGGGAGAACACAAAGCAUGAAUCGAUCGAUAAACCUCUGCAUCCAAUGCCUACUUGGUCUCUUUCACUAUUUUCGAUGUCAUCUGUUUGGUUGCCGAGAAACUGUGAGAAAACCACGAGCACGAGUUUUUUUAGUUUAAAAGAAAAAUUACCUCGUUAUUUAGAAUCAUUUAUAGAGCUAGUUUUUAAUUUUUUCCCCACCAACCCGGGGACUAUAUGUGUUUGUCUUAGAUUUAGAAUGACGCAGCUUAGUUUUGUUGCUUUUAUCCUCGUUUGAGCAGUUACCAGUAGUUUCUUGUUGAGAGUUUCUUUGUUAAUAUUUUCUUGGAACCUCUUGCUUGAUUUCCAGUAAUAGUGUUGUAUGGCCUCUUAAUGAUCGAUUCGCCAGCUGCUAUCAUUUUGAAUCAAUUUGCAUAAUCCUAUCGAUUAUCGUUCAAAAAAUUAGAUGUUUCGGGUUCCAACUUACAUAUGUGAUCAUGCAUUAUAAUAUCAUACAUGGAUGAUUUUCAUUGUAGGAGUAUGAUAUGUAACUAUCAGGUUGGAUGAACUGACCUUCCAAGAUAUUGGCUAUAAUAUUGCGGCUGCCGACAAUCCAGUUUGUGAUGCUCCUGUGCUGGCAAACUGGAUCUUAUAUUAAGUGGGGUGGUUCAUCAUCUAUUGCAUUAUUCGUAGACGGAUUUCUACUUUUACUUUCAGUGUUCAUUUUUUUUACUCUUCUACUCUCAAGCCUCUCAACAAGAUAAGAGCAUUCUCCCAGCUGACUCUUUUGUCAUGUGUUUUAUGGGUCAAUCGCUUUUCAAGUUUUUAUCAUCUUGAGGGUCCUUUUCCUGCUAUAUAGGUAUAGCCCCAUCGGAAUAUUGCCGAGAUUCCACAGUCUCUUACCAGUAAAUAAGUUGUUUUCAACUGGUGUCUUUUUCAAGUUGUGAGAAAUAAUCUUCUUUGGUACCAUCCACUUUAAAUUAUAUGUAUACUUCAUUGUGUUCUUAUAAUCCUCUUUGGUACUAUCCAUUUUCUCCAUUGUAUUUUUCUUCUUGAAAUUAUCGCCUUCAUUUUUCCCCGUUCAAAUAUAAAAUAUCAAUCCUUGUUCGAGGCAUUAAUUACGUCUAUAUAAAAAGCUGAAAAGAACUAUGGUUUUUUCUGAUAGAGACUUUGGUACUGCAACCUCCUAGCUUAUUACGUGUUAAUUGGCUGGAAGUUGCAGAUCGGGCAUGCUUAAUAUAGUUCACAUUGGUGCCACCUCUUUUUUGUGUAAGAUAUGUUUCAAGCGGCGACCUUUUCAUUCUAUGAUUAAUUGCCCCAAACAUUGGCUUGGCAUGUUAUGCACUCAAACAGAGAAGAUGUCUCCAUUCAGUUCUAAAAUUUGGAGCUCCUUAUUUUGAUGGUAGAGUUUUCUGAAGAUGAUCUGGGGAUGAAAUGUGAAUUGCUCUGGUUCUAGUAUAUCAUUUUCUUGGGCAUAAUGAUGGUUUGAAGGUCCCUGCUUGUUGCUUUCUUGUAAAGGAAAAGGUAUCCUUGGAAAGUAAGAUUUACUCCAGGGGGUAGGCCAGGCCUACUGAACAAUAUUAAACAUGACGACUAAGAAAGGAGGCUACAGUGGAUGGAGUACAACUUGAUGGAGAAUCUAGUUGCUAAUGAUGUUUACGGGAAUCUGGAUCAAAUUCUUAUAUGAGUUAAUCAUAUCCAAUCCGACUAAGGCUCAGUUUGGAUCAAUUGUUGUCACGAGUCCAUAGAACUCAUUGGCCUACUCAUAAUAUUUUGGUGAAUUCUCCAUCCAAACAGAGUCUAAAAGACGGGUAAUUUCUGUCGUCAUCUGGAGUAAAUAAAGCAAAGUCCAAGUUUAGAUUGGGGAAACAAUCGAGUCUAUGAAUAGUAAGUAACUGGUUGAUGCCGAGAAUAUCCUAUGGGGAGAUUCCUUGUUCCCGAGUCCCGACUUGAUGACUCAUUCAAUUAUUAUCUCACACCAUUGGCCAUUUAGCUUUCGACAUUAUUCCU